rnacentral:rRNA from 1 species
AACGAACGCUGGCGGCAUGCCUAACACAUGCAAGUCGAACGAGACCUUCGGGUCUAGUGGCGCACGGGUGCGUAACGCGUGGGAACCUGCCCUUAGGUUCGGAAUAACUCCCCGAAAGGGGUGCUAAUACCGGAUAAUGUCUUCGGACCAAAGAUUUAUCGCCUUUGGAUGGGCCCGAGUUGGAUUAGCUAGUUGGUAGGGUAAAAGCCUACCAAGGCCACGAUCCAUAGCUGGUCUGAGAGGAUGAUCAGCCACACUGGGACUGAGACACGGCCCAGACUCCUACGGGAGGCAGCAGUGGGGAAUAUUGGACAAUGGGCGAAAGCCUGAUCCAGCAAUGCCGCGUGAGUGAUGAAGGCCUUAGGGUUGUAAAGCUCUUUUACCCGGGAUGAUAAUGACAGUACCGGGAGAAUAAGCUCCGGCUAACUCCGUG